GGGUUGUGAGGUUAAGCGACUAAGCGUACACGGUGGAUGCCCUGGCAGUCAGAGGCGAUGAAGGACGUGCUAAUCUGCGAUAAGCGUCGGUAAGGUGAUAUGAACCGUUAUAACCGGCGAUUUCCGAAUGGGGAAACCCAGUGUGAUUCGUCACACUAUCAUUAACUGAAUCCAUAGGUUAAUGAGGCGAACCGGGGGAACUGAAACAUCUAAGUACCCCGAGGAAAAGAAAUCAACCGAGAUUCCCCCAGUAGCGGCGAGCGAACGGGGAGGAGCCCAGAGCCUGAAUCAGUGUGUGUGUUAGUGGAAGCGUCUGGAAAGGCGCGCGAUACAGGGUGACAGCCCCGUACACAAAAAUGCACAUAUUGUGAGCUCGAUGAGUAGGGCGGGACACGUGGUAUCCUGUCUGAAUAUGGGGGGACCAUCCUCCAAGGCUAAAUACUCCUGACUGACCGAUAGUGAACCAGUACCGUGAGGGAAAGGCGAAAAGAACCCCGGCGAGGGGAGUGAAAAAGAACCUGAAACCGUGUACGUACAAGCAGUGGGAGCCUCUUUAUGGGGUGACUGCGUACCUUUUGUAUAAUGGGUCAGCGACUUAUAUUCUGUAGCAAGGUUAACCGAAUAGGGGAGCCGAAGGGAAACCGAGUCUUAACUGGGCGUUAAGUUGCAGGGUAUAGACCCGAAACCCGGUGAUCUAGCCAUGGGCAGGUUGAAGGUUGGGUAACACUAACUGGAGGACCGAACCGACUAAUGUUGAAAAAUUAGCGGAUGACUUGUGGCUGGGGGUGAAAGGCCAAUCAAACCGGGAGAUAGCUGGUUCUCCCCGAAAGCUAUUUAGGUAGCGCCUCGUGAAUUCAUCUCCGGGGGUAGAGCACUGUUUCGGCAAGGGGGUCAUCCCGACUUACCAACCCGAUGCAAACUGCGAAUACCGGAGAAUGUUAUCACGGGAGACACACGGCGGGUGCUAACGUCCGUCGUGAAGAGGGAAACAACCCAGACCGCCAGCUAAGGUCCCAAAGUCAUGGUUAAGUGGGAAACGAUGUGGGAAGGCCCAGACAGCCAGGAUGUUGGCUUAGAAGCAGCCAUCAUUUAAAGAAAGCGUAAUAGCUCACUGGUCGAGUCGGCCUGCGCGGAAGAUGUAACGGGGCUAAACCAUGCACCGAAGCUGCGGCAGCGACGCUUAUGCGUUGUUGGGUAGGGGAGCGUUCUGUAAGCCUGUGAAGGUGUGCUGUGAGGCAUGCUGGAGGUAUCAGAAGUGCGAAUGCUGACAUAAGUAACGAUAAAGCGGGUGAAAAGCCCGCUCGCCGGAAGACCAAGGGUUCCUGUCCAACGUUAAUCGGGGCAGGGUGAGUCGACCCCUAAGGCGAGGCCGAAAGGCGUAGUCGAUGGGAAACAGGUUAAUAUUCCUGUACUUGGUGUUACUGCGAAGGGGGGACGGAGAAGGCUAUGUUGGCCGGGCGACGGUUGUCCCGGUUUAAGCGUGUAGGCUGGUUUUCCAGGCAAAUCCGGAAAAUCAAGGCUGAGGCGUGAUGACGAGGCACUACGGUGCUGAAGCGACAAAUGCCCUGCUUCCAGGAAAAGCCUCUAAGCAUCAGGUAACAUCGAAUCGUACCCCAAACCGACACAGGUGGUCAGGUAGAGAAUACCAAGGCGCUUGAGAGAACUCGGGUGAAGGAACUAGGCAAAAUGGUGCCGUAACUUCGGGAGAAGGCACGCUGAUAUGUAGGUGAAGCGACUUGCUCGUGGAGCUGAAAUCAGUCGAAGAUACCAGCUGGCUGCAACUGUUUAUUAAAAACACAGCACUGUGCAAACACGAAAGUGGACGUAUACGGUGUGACGCCUGCCCGGUGCCGGAAGGUUAAUUGAUGGGGUUAGCGCAAGCGAAGCUCUUGAUCGAAGCCCCGGUAAACGGCGGCCGUAACUAUAACGGUCCUAAGGUAGCGAAAUUCCUUGUCGGGUAAGUUCCGACCUGCACGAAUGGCGUAAUGAUGGCCAGGCUGUCUCCACCCGAGACUCAGUGAAAUUGAACUCGCUGUGAAGAUGCAGUGUACCCGCGGCAAGACGGAAAGACCCCGUGAACCUUUACUAUAGCUUGACACUGAACAUUGAGCCUUGAUGUGUAGGAUAGGUGGGAGGCUUUGAAGUGUGGACGCCAGUCUGCAUGGAGCCGGCCUUGAAAUACCACCCUUUAAUGUUUGAUGUUCUAACGUUGGCCCCUUAUCGGGGUUGCGGACAGUGUCUGGUGGGUAGUUUGACUGGGGCGGUCUCCUCCUAAAGAGUAACGGAGGAGCACGAAGGUUGGCUAAUCCUGGUCGGACAUCAGGAGGUUAGUGCAAUGGCAUAAGCCAGCUUGACUGCGAGCGUGACGGCGCGAGCAGGUGCGAAAGCAGGUCAUAGUGAUCCGGUGGUUCUGAAUGGAAGGGCCAUCGCUCAACGGAUAAAAGGUACUCCGGGGAUAACAGGCUGAUACCGCCCAAGAGUUCAUAUCGACGGCGGUGUUUGGCACCUCGAUGUCGGCUCAUCACAUCCUGGGGCUGAAGUAGGUCCCAAGGGUAUGGCUGUUCGCCAUUUAAAGUGGUACGCGAGCUGGGUUUAGAACGUCGUGAGACAGUUCGGUCCCUAUCUGCCGUGGGCGCUGGAGAAUUGAGGGGGGCUGCUCCUAGUACGAGAGGACCGGAGUGGACGCAUCACUGGUGUUCGGGUUGUCAUGCCAAUGGCACUGCCCGGUAGCUAAAUGCGGAAGAGAUAAGUGCUGAAAGCAUCUAAGCACGAAACUUGCCCCGAGAUGAGUUCUCCCUGACCCUUUAAGGGUCCUGAAGGAACGUUGAAGACGACGACGUUGAUAGGCCGGGUGUGUAAGCGCAGCGAUGCGUUGAGCUAACCGGUACUAAUGAACCGUGAGGCUUAACCUUACAACGCCGAAGGUGUUU
rnacentral:rRNA from 1 species